rnacentral:rRNA from 1 species
UACACUUGACAUGGAGAGAAGUUACUAGAGAUAGUUUCGUGCCUUCGGGAACUCAAACAC